rnacentral:piRNA from 1 species
GACCUUCGGAAGAACAGUCGGGUGCUCU